rnacentral:lncRNA from 1 species
GUGGACAUUUUGGCUGAGAGCUGUGGUCCCCUCCCUCUCCAGGGGUAGAGGGGGCUGGACCGUGCCCAGCUGCCCUCUGGGGCAACAGCCCCGUGUGCUCCAGGAUAAGGGUCUCAGGGGGAGGGAGGCCUUAGGAUCAUCCUCCCCGUGUUAGUUCCCCUUCCUUGUCUUGCCCAAUAAUGACUCACUCUUCCUUCCAGCUCCUGCUCAUUGAACGGAUCCCACCUGUUGCUGUGUGAUCUUAGAUUCUUCUUUCAAGGCCUGGGUGAAGACCUCUGCCUCCAGGAAGCCUCCUGUGGCCAGCCAAGCCAUAACUCUUAGACCUCUGGGGAGGUGGUCCCCAUUUGCUGCCAACUCCAGCGCCAGGCUGAUGGCUGCCAGGAGCAAGAUGACAGAAGGACGGGAGAGGCUGCAUCCAGGGAGGCAUGGAACCACCCAGAGGACCGGGCCAUGCGCUGCUCUGGCCUCCUCUGCCCCUGGGGGACCCUCCACUGCUCAGGCCUGGGGGAGCAGCCAGGUAAGGGUGGUCUCUGGCUGGGCGGAGGGUUUGUCAAUGUGUGGGUGCUGGGGUAGCCUGGGUGGCUGGAGUGGGAGAGAAAGGAACUCAGCAUCAGGUUUCUCCUUUCAGCAGAGAUGCUGGACGUCCUGGGUUAGGAGAUCAGGCCUGUCACACGUCACCCUCCACCCUCACCAACAAAACACAUAUACAAAUGGAAAGAGACAGAGAGAGGCUGAGUUAGCUGCUCUCUUGAUCUGUGCUUACCUUUGUGUCUUACUCUUCCUUCUUUGCGUGAUGACUUUUCCCUCCUUCAUUUAA